CCUUGCAGAUCUAGAGCGAUCUCCCACAGGCCAGAUGGAAGCGGGAAGGGACGGGCGGGCCGGACUGGCCCAGCUUGGGAGGCAGCGCUUAAGUAGUUAAGAAGUGGCCAAUCCUUCCCUUCCCUCCCGGUUGGCGUCUCCAGCAGUACUCCCUCCCUUCUUGGAGGGAGAAGCAGCCGGCGCUGCUGCCCGCUGUGUCCCGGGGCUCCCAGAGGGGAGGAGAGGCGGCCUUGAAGCAGCUGCACCCGCCGCCCACCCGACUUAGGACGCUGCGAACAGUCCAGCCCUCAGCUGAGGGAUCUCACUUGCUUUGGAAAGUCUGGACUCUGUGCAGGGGCCCAGAUCCCGGGAGACCGGCCGCCUCCUACGUGGGAUGGGCGAGAAGAAAGCCUUCUAGGAGCCUGCUGCUGGGGGAUUCUCAAGCUUGGGGAGCCAGUGCCCUGAGAGAGCAAUGGCCAAGCGCACCUUCUCCAGCCUAGAGAUCUUCCUCAUUUUCCUCCUUGUAAUGAUGACGGCGAUCACAGUGGGCCUGCUGACUCUGCUCUUCAUCACCAGUGGGGUCUCAGAAGACAAUAAA